UCAGCCGAAUUCAACAACUUG
rnacentral:piRNA from 1 species